GAUGAACGCUGGCGGCGUGCCUAAUACAUGCAAGUCGAGCGAACGGACGAGAAGCUUGCUUCUCUGAUGUUAGCGGCGGACGGGUGAGUAACACGUGGAUAACCUACCUAUAAGACUGGGAUAACUUCGGGAAACCGGAGCUAAUACCGGAUAAUAUUUUGAACCGCAUGGUUCAAAAGUGAAAGACGGUCUUGCUGUCACUUAUAGAUGGAUCCGCGCUGCAUUAGCUAGUUGGUAAGGUAACGGCUUACCAAGGCAACGAUGCAUAGCCGACCUGAGAGGGUGAUCGGCCACACUGGAACUGAGACACGGUCCAGACUCCUACGGGAGGCAGCAGUAGGGAAUCUUCCGCAAUGGGCGAAGGCCUGACGGAGCAACGCCGCGUGAGUGAUGAAGGUCUUCGGAUCGUAAAACUCUGUUAUUAGGGAAGAACAUAUGUGUAAGUAACUGUGCACAUCUUGACGGUACCUAAUCAGAAAGCCACAGCUAACUACGUG
rnacentral:rRNA from 1 species